rnacentral:rRNA from 1 species
CCUACGGGAGGCAGCAGUGGGGAAUAUUGCACAAUGGGCGCAAGCCUGAUGCAGCGACGCCGCGUGAGGGAUGACGGCCUUCGGGUUGUAAACCUCUUUCAGUAGGGAAGAAGCGUAAGUGACGGUACCUGCAGAAGAAGCGCCGGCUAACUACGUGCCAGCAGCCGCGGUAAUACGUAGGGCGCAAGCGUUAUCCGGAAUUAUUGGGCGUAAAGAGCUCGUAGGCGGUUUGUCGCGUCUGCUGUGAAAGACCGGGGCUCAACUCCGGUUCUGCAGUGGGUACGGGCAGA